UGCAGUCGAGCGGAACGAGUUAUCUGAACCUUCGGGGAACGAUAACGGCGUCGAGCGGCGGACGGGUGAGUAAUGCCUAGGAAAUUGCCCUGAUGUGGGGGAUAACCAUUGGAAACGAUGGCUAAUACCGCAUGAUGCCUACGGGCCAAAGAGGGGGACCUUCGGGCCUCUCGCGUCAGGAUAUGCCUAGGUGGGAUUAGCUAGUUGGUGAGGUAAGGGCUCACCAAGGCGACGAUCCCUAGCUGGUCUGAGAGGAUGAUCAGCCACACUGGAACUGAGACACGGUCCAGACUCCUACGGGAGGCAGCAGUGGGGAAUAUUGCACAAUGGGCGCAAGCCUGAUGCAGCCAUGCCGCGUGUGUGAAGAAGGCCUUCGGGUUGUAAAGCACUUUCAGUCGUGAGGAAGGUAGUGUAGUUAAUAGCUGCAUUAUUUGACGUUAGCGACAGAAGAAGCACCGGCUAACUCCGUGCCAGCAGCCGCGGUAAUACGGAGGGUGCGAGCGUUAAUCGGAAUUACUGGGCGUAAAGCGCAUGCAGGUGGUUUGUUAAGUCAGAUGUGAAAGCCCGGGGCUCAACCUCGGAAUUGCAUUUGAAACUGGCAGACUAGAGUACUGUAGAGGGGGGUAGAAUUUCAGGUGUAGCGGUGAAAUGCGUAGAGAUCUGAAGGAAUACCGGUGGCGAAGGCGGCCCCCUGGACAGAUACUGACACUCAGAUGCGAAAGCGUGGGGAGCAAACAGGAUUAGAUACCCUGGUAGUCCACGCCGUAAACGAUGUCUACUUGGAGGUUGUGGCCUUGAGCCGUGGCUUUCGGAGCUAACGCGUUAAGUAGACCGCCUGGGGAGUACGGUCGCAAGAUUAAAACUCAAAUGAAUUGACGGGGGCCCGCACAAGCGGUGGAGCAUGUGGUUUUAAUUCGAUGCAACGCGAAGAACCUUACCUACUCUUUGACAUCCAGAGAACUUU
rnacentral:rRNA from 1 species